CUCCUUUAAACAUCUCAUGUUCUUUCAUCAGCAUUUUCUUUUGUUUGAAUAAAAAAAUUGUUAUUAUAUUGUAGUUGAGUUGUACUUAAUGUAUUUUUUUCUCAUAUGUUGCACAUCUGAGUUUCAGAGUUUAGUUUCUUCUGGAUUUUUUCAUCGUUCAUAUCCUGAAUGAUUUACCUGAUGGUUGGUCUGUGGAUUUCAGAACUCGAAAACAUGCUGCAGUGUAUCAUUGAUCCAAACGGAACUAGAUUCUACUCUAAAGCAGCGGUGUUAAGAUAUCAUGAAAGAAUAAAGGAGAAGAGAUACAAAACCGCAUCUCCCAACAAUGAAAGAAAGUUAGAAAGAGGUUUUAUUCGAUGUGGUUAGCAACAUGGUAUAUUUGGUUGGAGAAGAAUGGCUUAUUUAGUAAUGGAAAAGUGACAACUUUUUUUGUAAGUGUGCAAUCGAAG